AUUGAACGCUGGCGGCAGGCCUAACACAUGCAAGUCGAGCGAGAGGCGGACGGGUGAGUAAUGUAUGGGGACUGCCCGAUAGAGGGGGUUACCUACUGCAAACGGUAGAUAAUACCGCCUAUUAUCGCAUAACCCCUUUGGGUUUAGCUAGUAGGUGAGGUAAUGGCUCACCUAGGCGACGAUCCCUAGCUGGUCUGAGAGGAUGAUCCGCCACAUUAGGACUUAGACACGGCCCAGAGGCCUAAGGAGCCAGCAGUGAGGAAUAUUACGCAAUGGUCGCGAGCCUGGUUCAGGCAUACCGCGUGUAGGAAGAAGGCCCUAGGGUUGUAAAGAGCUUUCGUUCGGGAGGCGUUACCGGCAGAAGAUGCAACUGCGAACUCCGUGCCAGCAGCCGCGGUAAUAC
rnacentral:rRNA from 1 species